rnacentral:lncRNA from 1 species
AUGUGCUGCCCUGCUGCACGCUCGCCUCCCCGCUGGGCCCUGAGCGGCCCCACGCACCCGCCGCCCUCCGACCCCCCAGGAAAGAUUUGGGGGGACAAAGAUGGCAGCACGGCUGGGAAAGACAUGACCGUGCACCGGGCUGAAAAUCAACCUGCAUCAGCCAGGCACCGGGGCUCUGCCGGGCUUCUGCRCGACCGGCUCCGGAGCUCUGCUCCCGCCCGGAGCCCAGCGCCGCCCCGGCACGUCCGUGGCUCCGCGAUCGCGGCCUUGCCCGGGGCCAAGCUGCCGUGGGCUCUUCCCUGCUGCCCAGCAGCCGCAGCCCUUGCGCUGUGGCCAGCCCGUGCCGGGCUCCGUGCUGGGUCUGUCCCCGGCUGCAGGUCCCCGAGGCCGGGAUGCUCGAGGGGGAGCCGGCACGCGCUCCUGGCACCCGCAGUGCAGGCGAUGGAGGGGUUUCGGCUGCUCCCAGGAGAAGCUGGGACAAGUUCUCUCUUUUCCUCCUCCUGGUGCCCCUGCAGCGGCUCCGACGGUGCCCGGCGCUGCCGUUCCCAGCCGGGGGCCGUUUCCCACAGCCGCCAGCCCUGGGCAGGACGGGGAGGGAGAAGUUGCCAUUGCAACAUUUUCCUUGGGUGUAGCAACCCCCAGCAUUUUACCACGGAAAUCUGCCUUCUUGCAGGCUGUUUACUGCCAAGAGCAGGAAUAUUCGUUCCGGUAACUAUGGCGACACGGGCAUCUCUGUGGGAACCGGCUGGAGGGAAGUUGAAAGCUGUAAACACAAAGCUGGACAGAAAACAAGCAUUGCCCUCCCUGCACCCUGUUGCACCCGGUGGCACCCGGUGGCGUGGGGGCACGGGACCGGGCUCAGCCGGGCCCAGCGCUGCUCCGAGCCUGCGAAGCCGCUGGGUCCCGGGAGCUGCGCUGCCCUGCGGCUGCAUCGCCCCUGGGUGCGCACGGGGUGCACAUGGGUGCGUGGAUGGGCCGUGCUUCCCGGGACAUGUGGACGGGCUGUGCAUCCCGGGAUGUGUGGAUGGGCUGUGCAUCCCCGCACUCCUGGAUGGGCUGUGCAUCUCGGGAUGUGUGGAUGGGCUGUGCAUCCCCACGCUCCUGGACGGGCUGUGCAUCCCCGGGCACAUGGAUGGGCUGUGCAUCCUCGGGCACGUGUGGAUGGGGCUGUGCACACGGACGGGGCYGCAGACCCCCGGGUUUGCAGGUGGGACUGCACAUCCCCACCGGGUGCACGCCUGCCCUCGCCCUGGUGUGGCCCUGCGCCGCAGGGAAAGGGUUUGCGCCCCGAGGAGGCGCUGGCGUUGCCCCCGCGGGAGUGCAAAUCCGUGCUGGGCGCUCCGCUCUCCCCGCACGGUCCGGGGCAGGGGUCCCCCUUCCCCAGCGCCAUGGGGCUGGUCGCAGGUUGGGGCACGGAGCAGGCGCCGCCCCGCAACAGCGCUCUCAGUUCCCCUUCGGCUCUGA